CCUGAGAAACCCAAAAGAUCGAAUGGGGAGAUUCAUCGUCAGCGAUCCUGGCACGUGUGCGGUUCGUGAUGCUCGAGACCUCGGUCCCGUGGCACGCGUCCGCAUGGUUUUAUUGCUUGGUGUCGUCGGCGUGCACUUCUCCCCUAGUAGGACGUCGCGACCCGUUGGGUGUCGGUCUACGGCCCGGGUGGGCGCCUGUAAUGUGUCACGCCUCACGGCGUCAUUUUGCAGACCCCCGGUUGUCUGACCGGCUGCUCGGCGGUACUCGCACGGUAUCGGGCCGCAAUUAUUCGAACUGCGUCCGGCCCGCCGCAAGCGAGGACAGUGUUUCCCGGAUGUACGGACCUAGCGCCGUCACCGGGCCUGGCCAGCUGUUGGUCGGCGGUGUCCUGGGACUGGCUCUAUAUUAAAUUAUGAUACCGGUCGGCGACGCUACUGCU
rnacentral:rRNA from 1 species